ensembl:snRNA U6 U6 spliceosomal RNA
GCGCUCGAUUCGGCAGCACAUAUACUAAAAUUGGAAUGAUACAGAGAAGAUUGGAAUGGCCCCUGAGCAAGAAUGACACGCAAAUUCGUGAAGCAUUCCAUAUUUUU